rnacentral:rRNA from 1 species
ACAUGCCUACAACAUAGCGUUAAUGCAUCAGAUCUCAUUAGAACUCCGCUCUUAAGCGUGCUUAGGAUAGAGUAGUAUUGGGAUGGGUGACUGCCUGGGAAGUUCUAGUGUUUUACAUGCC